AGACAGCAAUGCAUGAAGACGGCAGUACAAGACGACUGGUAAAGGGGUUCCAGUUCCCACUGUGCGCCGCUGGACUGCCUCCGAAGUAAUGAAGGUUGUGGUGGUGUCUGCAGAGGAGGAGGAGGUGGAUGAGGGAGAGCAGGCUGGACCCUCCCAGCAUGCUGAUGCUACACCACCACCUGUUGGAGAAAAUGUGGAGGUGGAAGCCGAAGAGGCUGGUCCCUCUUACCAACCGCAUCCCCCCCAGUUCCUGAUGAGGAAGAAGAGGAAGAGGUCAUCACCAGCCCCCGUCAGGAGGUUCUCCGUAAAUUGAAAAAAUAAUAAUAAUCCAGCUGCAGGACGAGGAUGAAGAAGCAAUGUUGGAGAUAAAAAACAUAAAAAAAGAUUAGGGAGUAGCAAAUGCAGUUGAAUCAGCAGCUGCGCCAUGUCGAAAAGAAGGUGCAUCAGCUGGAGGAGAGGCAUAGUAAGGUCAACCAGGA